rnacentral:rRNA from 1 species
UACGGAGGGUGCAAGCGUUAUCCGGAUUCACUGGGUUUAAAGGGUGCGUAGGUGGGCAGGUAAGUCAGUGGUGAAAUCUCUGGGCUUAACCCAGAAACUGCGUCUGAAACUGCAGGUCUAGAAUCUUGGAGGGGGAAGGGGAAUUUCGCAUGUAGGGGUAAAAUCCGUAGAUAUGCGAAGGAACACCAGAGGCGAAGGCGCCUUCCUGGACAAGUAUUGACGCUGAGGCGCGAAAGCGUGGGGAUCAAACAGG